GGAGCCUGCCCAUCUCUCUCUAGAAAGCCUCAUUAUAAAAAGAGCAAUAUCCCAUGAAGAAACUUACCAUGUUAGUCUCUGAAAUGCUGUCAAUGCUUUCAACAUGGACAUCUAUACCUACUGGCACUGGAGACCCUUAAGAAAGAAGAAUGGUUAAUAUGCUGAGGAAUGCAUUAUAAUCAUUUUAAAACCAUUUAAAACAGAGAGAUUAAUUCUCUUGGACAGCAACUGAAUUACUGUUAAAGUUUUUUUAAACAACAAAUUUCUCCAUUAUUCAUUGAAUCAGUUAUUAUAUACUCAAUUAUUAUAAUAAAGGCACAUGUGUAAAUAAAUGGUAUUCUAAUAAUCAUUACUCAUUUGCUUGGGAUCAUGCCAAUAAUUUCCUCCUCUAGUAUAAGAGUGGUGCCUCCAGUUUUCUUUUUUUUUUUUUUUUAGUUUUUUAUUCUUUUUACCUACUAGUGAUUUAAAAAGGAAAAGUGUUUUGAAAACAUGUCUUAAGAGUAUGUAGAAUUAUGUACUCUUAAGUACAAAUAUGGUAAUGGUCAUAUCUCAUAGUCAGGGAGUGUCAUAGAAUCCUUGACGUGGGCAAUGUUGGGACCUUUUCUCUGGUGUCAAAAAUAUCAGCCUUUUCCAUUUGUGCUGUGGUUGGUGGAGUAGAGGAACACAGAGAAAAUUUUAUUGAGACUAAAAGUACAGUGCCACACAGGGACAACACAGAUCAGAUUCCGAAGUGUCCCUUUGCAGAUCAGCAGCAACCACAGGCUGCAUUUGUGAAGAAGCAAAUAUCCUUAGAAAUCCAUUUAAUGAGAAAAUACUGAGAGUAGAAUUGGAGCAAUUUCAGACAGAGCACUGCUGACACUUGUACAGUUGAGUCACCCAGAAUCAGGUUCAUGGGCCCAGAAAACCUGAAUGACAACCAACAGAAUCCAGACUAGACUGACAUUUCCUAGUUACACCUAACAAACGAUUUCACCACUUCCAGUGUGAGUCGAAAUUGAUGUUAGUAACAUCAACAUUUAGUUUUGCGAUGGAAAUUUUAUGUACAUAUGUGUUAAAAUAAUUUAUAUAUUUAUAUAUGUAGUCUUUUAUAUGUUCUCUUUCCAUAUAAGCCAUUCUCGAUUAAACCUUAUUGUCUCUAUAGUCCUGAGUUUUAAAAAAUGUUUUCAAUUAUGGUUGAGAAAAUAUAAAUCCUGCCUAAAUGGAUCCAAGCUGGUUGUUUUAAUCGAGAUUCAAAGAUUUAGGCCGGGCGUGGUGGCUCACUCCUGUUAUCCCAGCACUUUGGCAGGCCGAGGUGGACGGAUCACUUGAGGACAGGAGUUUGAGACCAGCUUCACCAACAUGGUGAAACCCCGUCUCUACUAAAAAUACAAAAAUUAGCCAGGCGUGAUGGUGUGUGCUUGUAAUUCCAGCUACUCGGAAGACUGACGCAUGAGAAUUGCUUGAAUGCAGGAGGCAGGGGCUGCAGUGAGCUGAGAUGGCGCCCCUGCACUCCAGUCUGGGUGACAGAGCUAGACUCUCUCUCAAAAAAAAAAAGAAAAAGAAAAAAGAAAAGAAAAGAAAGGAAAACAAAAGAAAAGAAGAUAAAAGAAACAAAGAAAGAUUUAGAGGAGUCAAGUCUGAAAAGCUUCCUUAAUGAGGCUGAGGCUACGUAAUGCCUGGAUGUGCUACAUGGGACAGGCGUGCCUAUAAUUCGACAGCCCUUUAAAUGCAUAAUACUAUAGAAACCCAAGUCUGAUUUCCCCAAGGAAGGCAGCCAUGAGAACAGAGAAAUGGGUCACUGGUAUAAGAAGCUGUUCUGACCAAGACAGGCAAGAGAAGGUUAAGGGGUGUCUUUCACAGAGCUACCAGACUGACACUUCUGACUGAAUUUAUGAAGAUUUUUCGGCUCAAACUGACUAAUCACACAAGCCAUUUGGACACCAUUUCACCCCAGUAUAUGAUUGUCAGAAAAAUUUCUUAAUCAUGGGAUGAUUUGCCGCCUGCCACUAAGUAGCAC
rnacentral:lncRNA from 1 species